rnacentral:rRNA from 1 species
CUUAACGAGGAACAAUUGGAGGGCAAGUCUGGUGCCAGCAGCCGCGGUAAUUCCAGCUCCAAUAGCGUAUAUUAAAGUUGUUGCAGUUAAAAAGCUCGUAGUUGAAUUUUAGUCCUGGCCGGGCGGUCCGUCUUUGGCGAGUACUGUCCUGUGUCGGGUCUUCCUUCUGGUGAACCGGCAUGUCCUUUAUUGGGUGUGCCGGGGAGCCAGGACCAUUACCUUGAAAAAAUUAGAGUGUUUAAAGCGGGCAUUUGCUUGAAUAGAUUAGCAUGGAAUAAUAGAAUAGGACGUUGUGGUUCUAUUUUGUUGGUUUCUAGGACCACCGUAAUGAUUAAUAGGGAUAGUUGGGGGCAUUAGUAUUCAAUUGUCAGAGGUGAAAUUCUUGGAUUUAUUGAAGACUAACUACUGCGAAAGCAUUUGCCAAGGAUGUUUUCAUUAAUCAAGAACGAAAGUUAGGGGAUCGAAGACGAUCAGAUACCGUCGUAGUCUUAACCAUAAACUAUGCCGACUAGGAAUCGGGCGACGUUAUUUUCAUGACUCGCUCGGCGCCUUAUGGGAAACCAAAGUGU